UACGGGGGGGGCAAGCGUUGUUCGGAAUUACUGGGCGUAAAGGGCUCGUAGGCGGCCAACUAAGUCGGAUGUGAAAUCCCCAGGCUCAACCUGGGAACUGCAUCCGAUACUGGAUGGCUUGAAUUCGGGAGAGGGAUGCAGAAUUCCAGGUGUAGCGGUGAAAUGCGUAGAUAUACGGAGGAACACCAGAGGCGAAGGCGGAUCGCUGGGCCGACACUGACGCUGAUGUGCGAAAGCUAGGGGAGCAAACGGG
rnacentral:rRNA from 1 species